rnacentral:rRNA from 1 species
CCUACGGGUGGCAGCAGUGGGGAAUAUUGCACAAUGGGGGAAACCCUGAAGCAGCAACGCCGCGUGGGGGAUGAAGGUUUUCGGAUUGUAAACCCCUUUUGUUAGAGAAGAUAAUGACGGUAUCUAACGAAUAAGCACCAGCUAACACCGUGCCAGCAGCCGCCGUAAUACGGGGGGUGCAAGCUUUACUUGGAGUAACUGGGGUUAAAGGACGCGGAGGCGGGAUAGCAAGUCUGAUGUGAAAUCCUAUGGCUUAACCAUAGAACUGCAUUUGAAACUGUGAUUCUAGAGUAUGGGAGAGGUAGGUGGAAUUCUUGGUGUAGGGGUAAAAUGCGUAGAGAUCAAGAGGAAUACUCAUGGCGAAGGCGACCGUCUGGAACAUAACUGACGCUGAUGCGCGAAAGCGUGGGGAGCAAACAGGAUUAGAUACCCUAGUAGUC